rnacentral:lncRNA from 1 species
GUCAGGGCGGCUGGGGGAAGCGGGGGCCUCAGUCCAACCCCCACUCACUCCCCUCCUACACAGGCCAGCUCGCGCAGUGUCUGUGCUCUCGGCUUCGCCUCCUCCUGCAGCCUCCUGGUGGCGCCGGCGGCUGGGAGCAUCUGGCUGUGGGGCCUGCAUGGCGACCCCAAUACCGGGGCCCUCAGGUGAGCUGGGCAGGGCAAGCUGGAUGCCUGGGUCCCUUCCUGGCCCCAUCGCUCCCUGGGGAGCGGGGGGUGGGGGAGGGCCAUGCCCUACUGACCCGGGCCACCGAGGUCCCGUUUCCCGUACCAGUCUAUGCAGCAGCUGGCCUGGGCCCCACACGGACCGCGUCUCUCUCUCUCUCUCUCUCUCUCAGCCUGGAGCGUGAGCGCCCCCUGGGGGAGGUGGCAGCUCCCGUUACCUGCAUGGGGCCAGCCGGGGCCCCCGGCUCCCUGGUCCUGGGACUGGCGAACGGGGAGGUGCUGCUGUUCAGAGUCCACCAGACGGUGCUGAAGCCCCUCUGCUUAGUCAGCCCGGACGCCUGGGUUCCAGACCCCCCUGAGUACCUGUUUGAUGUGGCUGUGACCCCAGAUGGGCGGCUUCUUCUGUGGAAGGGGGUGAAAGAACCCACCCUGUACGAACUGGUGAGUGACUGGGCAGAGAACCCGGGAAUCUGGGCACCCAGCCCUGUACCCCCCUCCCCAAUGCGCCAGGCC